rnacentral:rRNA from 1 species
GACGAACGCUGGCGGCAGGCCUAAAACAUGCAAGUCGAACGAGUGGCGGACGGGUGAGUAAUGUCUGGGAAACUGCCUGAUGGAGGGGGAUAACUACUGGAAAAGGUAGCUAAUACAGCAUACCAUCAGAUGUGCCCAGAUGGGAUUAGCUUGUUGGUGGGGUAACGGCUCACCAAGGAGACGAUACCUAGCUGGUCUGAGAGGAUGACCAGCCACACUGGAACUGAGACACGGUCCAGACGCCUACGGGAGGCAGCAGGGGGGAAUAGUGCACAAUGGGCGCAAGCCUGAUGCAGCCAUGCCGCGGGUAUGAAGAAGGCGUUCGGGUUGUAAAGUACUUUCAGCGGGGAGGCGUUACCCGCAGAAGAAGCACCGGCUAACGCCGUGCCAGCAGCCGCGGUAAUUC